GCUCUUGACAUUCGGGGUAUGGGCAUUGGAGACGAUGUCCUUCAGUUAGGCUGGCCCCAGAACAGGUGCUGCAUGGCUGUCGUCAGCUCGUGUCGUGAGAUGUUGGGUUAAGUCCCGCAACGAGCGCAACCCUCGCCCUUAGUUGCCAGCAUUUAGUUGGGCACUCUAAGGGGACUGCCGGUGAUAAGCCGAGAGGAAGGUGGGGAUGACGUCAAGUCCUCAUGGCCCUUACGGGCUGGGCUACACACGUGCUACAAUGGUGGUGACAGUGGGCAGCGAGACAGCGAUGUCGAGCUAAUCUCCAAAAGCCAUCUCAGUUCGGAUUGCACUCUGCAACUCGAGUGCAUGAAGUGGAAUCGCUAGUAAUCGCAG
rnacentral:rRNA from 1 species